rnacentral:lncRNA from 1 species
AAAACACCAGCAGAAGAGCCCCGCCCACGUGUGCGUGCGUGCGCACGGCCAGCAUAGGACGUGCUUAAUGUGCAUACGUCCCAUCUGCGCGGAGCAUAAGGCUCGGCAUGCGCACGCGUCCCAUCGCGUACAAAUAUGCGCAAGGCCUUGUAAGCUAGGUCGAUGCACUUGUAAGCUAUGUCUGCAGCGCACGGCUGACUGGGGCAGCGUACUGCUGCCUCGGGCAGUGCGUGCUGCCCCCUUGGGCAUCAUGCACUAUGCGCCAUUGGUUAGGCGACGGGCCACCACU